GGAUAGAUAUAUAAUGUUGGUUAAACUUUAUUAUUGUUUCCAGAAAUAUGCCAACAGGAGGAAAUGGUUGAUUUAAACUUUCCGAUCUUUGUUGGAAUGUAGCCUGCUGUACAAAGGGACGUUUAGGAAAAUAUCACAUGAGCUGCAUUCCAGCAUCCACUCUAACCUAGAAGAUGAGCCUGAAUUGGAGAAGGGGCUGCUGCUGGGCCAUAAAUCUAGUCACAGAUGGAAAAAGCAGAAUAUUAUUUGCAGCAUGCAGAGCUCUGGCAAUCCCAGCAAGGGACUCGGACCCCGCGGAACACUUAAAUUACAACACUGGGAGGAAUGGUGCUGUGCAGUAACCCGUCUUGGAAGGACACUGAAAAGUUGUUUGCAAGAUUCCAUUUUACGGGCUGACAACACUGAGCAGUAUUCCCCAGAGAUGCCGUAUUUCAUGUUGCCUACAAUG